AGCUGGUGGGCGUACGGCUACCAUGGCGACGAUCGGUAGCUGGCCUGAGAGGAUGACCAGCCACACUGGAACUGAGACACGGUCCAGACUCCUACGGGAGGCAGCAGUGGGGAAUAUUGGACAAUGGGGGCAACCCUGAUCCAGCAAUGCCGCGUGUGUGAAGAAGGCCUGAGGGUUGUAAAGCACUUUCAGUGGGGAGGAGGGUUGAUAGGUUAAGAACUGAUUAACUGGACGUUACCCACAUAAGAAUGACCGGCUAACUCCGUGCCAUCAGCCGCGGUAAGACUGAGGGUGCAAGCGUUAAUCGUAAUUACUGGGCGUAAAGGGUGCGUAGGUGGUUGAUUAAGUUAUCUGUGAAAUUCCUGGGCUUAACCUGGGACGGUCAGAUAAUACUGGUUGACUCGAGUAUGGGAGAGGGUAGUGGAAUUUCCGGUGUAGCGGUGAAAUGCGUAUAGAUCGGAAGGAACACCAGUGGCCAAGGCGGCUACCUGGCCUAAUACUGACACUGAGGCACGAAAGCGUGUGGAGCAAACAGGAUUACAUACCCUGGUAGUCCACGCUGUAUACGAUGUCAACUAGUUGUUGGUUAUAUAUAUAAUAAUUAGUGUUGCAGCACACCCCAUAAGUUGAUAGCCUGGGGAGUACGGACGAAAGAUUAGAACUCCUAAAAAUUGACGGGGGGGCGCACAAGAUUUGGAGCGAUGGUUUUUUUUGGUGCAAUGCAAGUAAACAUCCCUACCC
rnacentral:rRNA from 1 species